CGUCACAGAGGGUGAGAAUCCCGUACGUGGUCGCUAGCUAUUGCCGUGUAAAGCCCCUUCGACGAGUCGAGUUGUUUGGGAAUGCAGCUCUAAAUGGGAGGUAAAUUUCUUCUAAAGCUAAAUAUUGGCCAGAGACCGAUAGCGCACAAGUAGAGUGAUCGAAAGAUGAAAAGCACUUUGGAAAGAGAGUCAAACAGCACGUGAAAUUGUUGAAAGGGAAGCGCUUGCAGCCAGACUUGCUUGCAGUUGCUCAUCCGGGCUUUUGCCCGGUGCACUCUUCUGCAGGCAGGCCAGCAUCAGUUUGGGCGGUGGGAUAAAGGUCUCUGUCACGUACCAUCCUUCGGGAUGGCCAUAUAGGGGAGACGUCAUACCACCAGCCUGGACUGAGGUCCGCGCAUCUGCUAGGAUGCUGGCGUAAUGGCUGUAAGCGGCCCGUCUUGAAACACGGACCAAGGAGUCUAACAUCUAUGCGAGUGUUUGGGUGUCAAGCCCGAGCGCGUAAUGAAAGUGAACGGAGGUGGGAACCCGCAAGGGUGCACCAUCGACCGAUCCUGAAGUUUACGGAAGGAUUUGAGUAAGAGCAUGGCUGUUGGGACCCGAAAGAUGGUGAACUAUGCUUGAAUAGGGUGAAGCCAGAGGAAACUCUGGUGGAGGCUCGCAGCGGUUCUGACGUGCAAAUCGAUCGUCAAAUUUGGGCAUAGGGGCGAAAGACUAAUCGAACUAUCUAGUAGCUGGUUCCUGCCGAAGUUUCCCUCAGGAUAGCAGUAACGUAUUCAGUUUUAUGAGGUAAAGCGAAUGAUUAGAGGCAUGGGGGGUUGAAACAACCUUCACCUAUUCUCAAACUUUAAAUAUGUAAGAAGCCCUUUGUUACUUAAUUGAACGCGGGCAUUUGAAUGAAACGUUAUUAGUGGGCCAUUUUUGGUAAGCAGAACUGGCGAUGCGGGAUGAACCGAACGAGGGGUUACGGUGCCGGAGUACACGCUCAUCAGACACCACAAAAGGUGUUGGUUCAUCUAGACAGCAGGACGGUGGCCAUGGAAGUCGGAAUCCGCUAAGGAGUGUGUAACAACUCACCUGCCGAAUGAACUAGCCCUGAAAAUGGAUGGCGCUCAAGCGUGUCACCUAUACCCCUCCGCCGGGGCAAAAUUUACGCCCCGGCGAGUAGGCAGGCGUGGAGGCUCGUGACGAAGCCUUGG
rnacentral:rRNA from 1 species